rnacentral:rRNA from 1 species
UGGGGAAUAUUGCACAAUGGGCGAAAGCCUGAUGCAGCGACGCCGCGUGCGGGAUGAAGGCCUUCGGGUUGUAAACCGCUUUUGAUUGGGAGCAAGCGAGAGUGAGUGUACCUUUCGAAUAAGCACCGGCUAACUACGUGCCAGCAGCCGCGGUAAUACGUAGGGUGCAAGCGUUAUCCGGAAUUAUUGGGCGUAAAGAGCUCGUAGGCGGUUUGUCGCGUCUGGUGUGAAAGUCCAUCGCUUAACGGUGGAUCUGCGCCGGGUACGGGCAGGCUAGAGUGCGACAGGGGAGACUGGAAUUCCCGGUGUAACGGUGGAAUGUGUAAGAUAUCGGGAAGAACACCAAUGGCGAAGGCAGGUCUCUGGGUCGUCACUGACGCUGAGGAGCGAAAGCGUGGGGAGCGAACAGGAUUAGAUACCCUGGUAGUCCACGCCGUAAACGGUGGAUGCUGGAUGUGGGGCCCCAUUCCA